rnacentral:ribozyme from 1 species
UUUUUUUUUUUUUUUUUUUUUUUUUUUUUUGAU